rnacentral:rRNA from 1 species
UACGUAGGCAGCGAGCGUUGUUCGGAGUUACUGGGCGUAAAGGGUGUGUAGGCGGUCUUUUAAGUUUGGUGUGAAAUCUCCCGGCUCAACCGGGAGGGUGCGCCGAAUACUGAGAGACUUGGAGUGCGGGAGAGGAAAGUGGAAUUCCUGGUGUAGCGGUGAAAUGCGUAGAUAUCUGGAGGAACACCGGUGGCGAAGGCGGCAUCCUGGACCAACACUGACACUGAGGAGCGAAAGCCAGGGGAGCAAACGGG